AUUGAACGCUGGCGGCAUGCCUAACACAUGCAAGUCGAGCGGAGCGGCGGACGGGCGAGUAAUGCCUAGGAAUCUGACUGGUCGUGGGGGAUAACGUCACGACACGGGCCCUAAUACCGCAUACUCUCAGAUGAGCCUAGUAGGGAUUAGCUAGUUGGUGUGGUAAAGGCAUACCAAGGCGACGAUCCGUAACUGGUCUGAGAGGAUGACCAGUCACACUGGAACUGAGACACGGUCCAGACUCCUACGGGAGGCAGCAGUGGGGAAUAUUGGGCAAUGGGCGAAAGCCUGAUCCAGCCAUGCCGCGUGUGUGAAGAAGGUCUUCGGAUCGUAAAACACUUUAAGUUGGGAGGCGUUACCAACAGAGUAAGCACCGGCUAACUUCGUGCCAGCCGCCGCGGUAAUUC
rnacentral:rRNA from 1 species